rnacentral:rRNA from 1 species
AAUGAACGCUGGCGGCAUGCCUAACACAUGCAAGUCGAACGAAGGCUUCGGCCUUAGUGGCGCACGGGUGCGUAACGCGUGGGAAUCUGCCCUCAGGUUCGGAAUAACAGCGAGAAAUUGCUGCUAAUACCGGAUGAUAUCGCGAGAUCAAAGAUUUAUCGCCUUAGGAUGAGCCCGCGUAGGAUUAGCUAGUUGGUGUGGUAAAGGCGCACCAAGGAGACGAUCCUUAGCUGGUCUGAGAGGAUGAUCAGCCACACUGGGACUGAGACACGGCCCAGACUCCUACGGGAGGCAGCAGUGGGGAAUAUUGGACAAUGGGCGAAAGCCUGAUCCAGCAAUGCCGCGUGAGUGAUGAAGGCCUUAGGGUUGUAAAGCUCUUUUACCCGGGAUGAUAAUGACAGUACCGGGAGAAUAAGCUCCGGCUAACUCCGUGCCAGCCGCCGCGGUAA